GACGAACGCUGGCGGCGUGCUUGACACAUGCAAGUCGAACGGAAAGGCCCUGCUUUUGUGGGGUGCUCGAGUGGCGAACGGGUGAGUAACACGUGAGUAACCUGCCCUUGACUUUGGGAUAACUUCAGGAAACUGGGGCUAAUACCGGAUAGGAGCUCCUGCUGCAUGGUGGGGGUUGGAAAGUUUCGGCUGUUGGGGAUGGACUCGCGGCUUAUCAGCUUGUUGGUGGGGUAGUGGCUUACCAAGGCUUUGACGGGUAGCCGGCCUGAGAGGGUGACCGGCCACAUGGGGACUGAGAUACGGCCCAGACUCCUACGGGAGGCAGCAGUGGGGAAUAUUGCACAAUGGGCGGAAGCCUGAUGCAGCAACGCCGCGUGCGGGAUGACGGCCUUCGGGUUGUAAACCGCUUUCGCCUGUGACGAAGCGUGAGUGACGGUAAUGGGUAAAGAAGCACCGGCUAACUACGUG
rnacentral:rRNA from 1 species